rnacentral:rRNA from 1 species
GACGGAGGAUGCAAGUGUUAUCCGGAAUCACUGGGCGUAAAGCGUCUGUAGGUGGUUUAAUAAGUCAACUGUUAAAUCUUGAGGCUCAACCUCAAAAUCGCAGUCGAAACUAUUAGGCUAGAGUAUAGUAGGGGUAAAGGGAAUUUCCAGUGGAGCGGUGAAAUGCGUAGAUAUCGGGAGGAACACCUGUGGCGAAAGCGGCGCACUGGACCACAACUGACGCUGAGGCGCGAAAGCUAGGGGAGCAAACAGG